rnacentral:rRNA from 1 species
UACGUAGGGUGCAAGCGUUGUCCGGAAUUAUUGGGCGUAAAGAGCUCGUAGGCGGUCUGUCGCGUCGGCUGUGAAAUCCCGAGGCUCAACCUCGGGUCUGCAGUCGAUACGGGCAAACUUGAGUGUUGCAGGGAGACUGGAAUUCCUGGUGUAGCGGUGAAAUGCGCAGAUAUCAGGAGGAACACCGGUGGCGAAGGCGGGUCUCUGGGCCGAUACUGACGCUGAGGAGCGAAAGCGUGGGGAGCGAACAGG